rnacentral:rRNA from 1 species
AUUGAACGCUGGCGGCAUGCCUUACACAUGCAAGUCGAACGGCAGCGGACCUUCGGGUGCCGGCGAGUGGCGAACGGGUGAGUAAUAUAUCGGAACGUACCUUUCAGUGGGGGAUAACGUAGCGAAGGUUACGCUAAUACCGCAUAUUCUGGUGAGCAGGAAAGCAGGGGAUCGCAAGACCUUGCGCUGAUUGAGCGGCCGAUAUCAGAUUAGCUAGUUGGUGAGGUAAAGGCUCACCAAGGCGACGAUCUGUAGCGGGUCUGAGAGGAUGAUCCGCCACACUGGAACUGAGACACGGUCCAGACUCCUACGGGAGGCAGCAGUGGGGAAUUUUGGACAAUGGGCGCAAGCCUGAUCCAGCCAUGCCGCGUGAGUGAAGAAGGCCUGGUGUAAGACCUUCGUCCGGA